UCUUUUUUCAAGUAGAAAGAGGCUUCUGUUUUCCUUUCCUCUUUGGACCAGUAGACUAUCUCUAUAAAUAGAGAUUCUCCUAGCCUAGAAAAGAAGAAUUGCUAUUCUAUUCAGUACUUGCCUGAAUUGAGUAUUUAAGAUAUCUGAACACGUUUCAAGAGGUAUUUCUGAUUAAUUUUAACCAUCGUCCGCUGCGUGUGCCUGCUCUCCAACAGUUUCUUCACAGCUACAGAGCUUUCUCUACACUUCUUCUUCAUUAGCACUUUAAUCAUCCAGUUUUAACUUCAACAAUGGGUAAGGGUCCUGGUCUCUACAGUGACAUUGGCAAGAAGGCUCGAGACUGUAAGCUCAUCAGGAUUGAAGAAGGGUGAUCCGUUUCUGGCUGAUGUCAACACUCAAUUGAAAAACAACAAUAUUACAGCUGAUGUUAAAGUAGACUCAAGCUCCAAUUUGGAGGUUCAAUAUUUAUAUGACUAUGCUGCAACAAGCACCGAAAUUGGAUUGAAUGCAAACCCCAUUGUUAACUUCUCUGGUGUAGUGGGAACUGAUGUUCUGUCUCUUGGAACUAAUGUGUCCUUUGACACCAAUUUGGGAACAUUCUCUAAGUGCAAUGCUGGCUUGAGUUUCACAUAUAAUAAUGGCCUUGUUACUUCUUUCAAUCUGUAAGUUGCUUCCAUUACUGUAAGAUUCUUCCUUGAAAUUGAGUAUGCAUGCAUGGACAAUCAAGUUAUGCUAGAAACUUGUAGUAGCUAAUGAACCCAGUUCCCAUGGUUUUUGAGCUAUUAGAAAAUUGUGUUGUGAAAUUGUUGCAAUAGAGGUGUAAUCUUUAGCUAGUUUAUCAAAAUUGUGCCUACAUUACUUGAAAUAUCAGGAAUAACAAGGGAGACACUCUGAGUACAUCAUACUACUGCGCACUCAGCCGCGUGAAUGAUACUGCUGUUGGCAUGGAGAUGACCCAUAGCUGCUCUACCAAUGAGGACACCUUUACUAUUGGCAUUAAGCAUCAGUUGAAUGAACUGAGCACUGUGAAGGCGAGUCUAAACAGUUUUGGCAAGGUAACUACACUGUUCCAACUUGAGUGGAGUCCAAAUUCUCUUUUCGCCCUUUCGGGUGAAAUUGACACCAAAGCUGUUAACAAAGGGGGAAAAUAUGGAUUGGCUGUUGAUCUUAAGCUAUAGAACGAUGGGUUUGGAGAUAUGAGGCACUAGUCCAGUUGGAAUGAUGCUCGUUAUUUUUGUGUUUUGACCUAAAUAUUAACGCUAGGUGGUUGCUAGAACCAAUAUCUUCUCUUUCUAAAUUAAUACUUUCUUAUUUACCCUCUUGCGAAACUUGUAAUGGGUUCUCACAUUGUACUUCUUUUGACAUUUCACUUUGAGGUUUCUCUCAUUUAAUUUAGGAGAUUAUUGUUGUCAUUUCUCUUGCUAAUAAGCAGUGUUUAUUUCUAUUUGAUUUUAUGACUGGAAAAAGACAGGCAACGUGCUGAUCUAGCCAAUGUAACAUUUCAAUUGUUUGUCAUAUAUGAAUACCAAUGAAUUCGAUGGGUGAAAGGUUGAAAAGUUAUUUUGAGAGAUCCGUGCGUCUAUGAUGUCAUACUCUUUUUAUUUCUCCUAAUAUGACCGAAAUGCCAUUUACAUAUACACUAGAUGGUGUAUGCCCGUGCUCUGCACAAAGAGGGAGCGUUAGUA